GUCUACGGCCAUGCCACCUUGAACAAGCCUGAUCCCGUCUGAUCUCGGAAGCUAAGCAGGGUUGGGCCUGGUUAGUACUUGGAUGGGAGACCACCUAGGAAACCAGGUGCCGUAAGCG
rnacentral:rRNA from 1 species